GACGAACGCUGGCGGCGUGCUUAACACAUGCAAGUCGAACGGAAAGGCCCUGCUUUUGUGGGGUGCUCGAGUGGCGAACGGGUGAGUAACACGUGAGUAACCUGCCCUUGACUUUGGGAUAACUUCAGGAAACUGGGGCUAAUACCGGAUAGGAGCUCCUGCUGCAUGGUGGGGGUUGGAAAGUUUCGGCGGUUGGGGAUGGACUCGCGGCUUAUCAGCUUGUUGGUGGGGUAGUGGCUUACCAAGGCUUUGACGGGUAGCCGGCCUGAGAGGGUGACCGGCCACAUUGGGACUGAGAUACGGCCCAGACUCCUACGGGAGGCAGCAGUGGGGAAUAUUGCACAAUGGGCGGAAGCCUGAUGCAGCAACGCCGCGUGCGGGAUGACGGCCUUCGGGUUGUAAACCGCUUUCGCCUGUGACGAAGCGUGAGUGACGGUAAUGGGUAAAGAAGCACCGGCUAACUACGUGCCGGCAGCCGCGGUGAUACGUAGGGUGCGAGCGUUGUCCGGAUUUAUUGGGCGUAAAGGGCUCGUGGGUGGUUGAUCGCGUCGGAAGUGUAAUCUUGGGGCUUAACCCUGAGCGUGCUUUCGAUACGGGUUGACUUGAGGAAGGUAGGGGAGAAUGGAAUUCCUGGUGGAGCGGUGGAAUGCGCAGAUAUCAGGAGGAACACCAGUGGCGAAGGCGGUUCUCUGGGCCUUUCCUGACGCUGAGGAGCGAAAGCGUGGGGAGCGAACAGGCUUAGAUACCCUGGUAGUCCACGCUGUAAACGGUGGGUACUAGGUGUGGGGUCCAUUCCACGGGUUCCGUGCCGUAGCUAACGCUUUAAGUACCCCGCCUGGGGAGUACGGCCGCAAGGCUAAAACUCAAAGGAAUUGACGGGGCCCCGCACAAGCGGCGGAGCAUGCGGAUUAAUUCGAUGCAACGCGUAGAACCUUACCUGGGUUUGACAUGGAUCGGGAGCGCUCAGAGAUGGGUGUGCCUCUUUUGGGGUCGGUUCACAGGUGGUGCAUGGCUGUCGUCAGCUCGUGUCGUGAGAUGUUGGGUUAAGUCCCGCAACGAGCGCAACCCUUGUUCACUGUUGCCAGCACGUUAUGGUGGGGACUCAGUGGAGACCGCCGGGGUCAACUCGGAGGAAGGUGGGGAUGACGUCAAGUCAUCAUGCCCCUUAUGUCCAGGGCUUCACGCAUGCUACAAUGGCUGGUACAGAGAGUGGCGAGCCUGUGAGGGUGAGCGAAUCUCGGAAAGCCGGUCUCAGUUCGGAUUGGGGUCUGCAACUCGACCUCAUGAAGUCGGAGUCGCUAGUAAUCGCAGAUCAGCAACGCUGCGGUGAAUACGUUCCCGGG
rnacentral:rRNA from 1 species